rnacentral:misc_RNA from 1 species
GUUUAGCCCUGAUUGAGCGGCCUGUUUGAGCUCUUUUCUGGUUUUAGUUGCGGCGGCGAAGCCGCCGCAACUAAAACCAGAAAAAGCGAGUAGCGAAAGCAGGAAAAAGC